GAAGAAAAGAAGAAAAAAAAAAAACAUAAAGAUAAAUAUAUAAACAGGGAGGACAAUAAAAGAAUAUGAUCCUUUUUUUUUUUUUUUUUUUUUUUUU
rnacentral:ribozyme from 1 species